GUUUCAUUUUUUUGUAAAAACCAACACAAUUAUUCAACUUUAAAAAGGUUUUAUAAAAGCAGACAAGGCAAUUUUCACAGCCUUGACUUGGAGUGCACAGGGGAUAUGUAAAGAAGGUUGUGGAGUGCACAAAUUUAUGUAUUGAAUAACUUCAAUACCAGCACAUCCUUUAUCAAUAAUGAUCCUUCCGCAGGUUCACCUACGGAAA
rnacentral:misc_RNA from 1 species